UCUUCUGACUGGUCCUGAAGAGUUGGAGGCGGGCCUGCUCUAGCCAGAGCGGGAGCCCCAUUGGUGCACAGCAGAGUUCUCUGCUCACAUCACCCGACCAGUAGGGGGGGGUGGAGUGUGAGUGAGCGUUGCUUCAUGAGAUGUGUGUGUGUCAAGGAAGCGUGGAUUUAGGGACUGGUAAUGUCUGCUUUAGGCUCAGGUGUUUCCUGUUUAUGCAGGAGUGCAUGUAAGGUUCAAUGUCAGUGAGAUAGUUUGGCACUCUAAGCUGGUUAGUGUUGCAGGCUGAUCUUUGUAGUUAUACAGGGGAGUAUAUUUGCGUGAUGGCAGCUGUGUGUCCUUCGGAUAAUCAUGUUAUUGCACGUAGGCUCUAAACUUGACUGAGGACACAGGGCCCAGAGUUAUCUGAGGGCAUCCGGUUUAACCAGAGCUUUGGUCUGCUAGUAAUGCUUGAUAUUAGAUUUAUAUAACAUGUUCAACCACUGGGCAUUGGAUCGUGGCGCGCUGAAAUCGGAUCGUUUGCGAAACAGCUCGGGUUAGAACUGGUAGAAAUGAUCCCCAAAUAUGUGAUCAUGGGUUAUUUAAGGCCUGAGUCAGUUUUCCAUUUAUGCCCAGUUCCUAAUGGCCAACACGAGCUAUAGCCACAUUGAACUACAGGGCUGAAUGCUCAGAGCUCUGUGGUAAGUCAUGUUUAUAAAAUGUCAAAGGCACAACAUUUCUGCAGAGAGGGACUCAUUUAAUUGUCAUAGAAAUUAUUAUUUUUAUUCAUGUUGGAUGUCAGCGGUUUGCUAGCUGUGACAGUCGUCGGUUUCCUGCCUUAGCGAUGGUGAUUAGGGCGAGGAGGAAGAGGCCCAGGACCCAGAUGCCAGCCACAGGAAUCAUCAGCAGCAGCAGAUCUGGAACAAAGUCAAGACUGUUGAAAACACCUCACACCACCCUGCCUCUAGCUGCAACAUGAGCCCAGAGGGGUAUACUACAAUGUAGGAUCAAUGAUUUAGCCAGCUAACGUGCCUAAAGUCUUACAUAACCAUUUUGAAAACUGAAAGAAUGACUCAACCAAAAACAUAUACCCAUGUUGAGCUUUUGUAGUAUAGCCCUCUGGUCUACGUCACAAUCAUUUUUUAAAAAUGCAGGCAAGUAGAGUGAGCAAGGGCAAUAUUUGAGCCCGGCAAGAAUAUAUUUUAAUCUUAUGUAGAUAACGAAACACAAAUCCUUACUAGAUUGGGGUCGGUCUUGUAUGUCAAUCCUGAUUGGUCCAUAUGACAGUAGACCAUGAGUUGGGUCUCCACGCACUGCUGCCCUCUUGGUUAUAGAUUUGCACUCCUGUAGCAGUAAAGCAUUAAUAAAAGACAAUCUUGUAUGCCAUG